rnacentral:ribozyme from 1 species
AGAAACGAGAGGGAGAAAAGGCAUGACGAAGAAAUGUGAAUAGGAUAGGAUAGGAUUUUGGUAUUUAUUCAUUUAUUUACUUGUUUAUUUGUUGUUGUUGUUGUUUUUUGUGU